rnacentral:lncRNA from 10 species
GGCGCAUGGCUCCAUGAAGCAAGAGGAGGAGGCAGAGCGCGAGAGAUCCCGUCCGCCCCAGCCGCGUCUGGGCCAGGAGAAAAGCAAAACCAUAUUCCUGCUGCUGUCAGUUUUGAUGCACUGAGAAAACUUCAGAGACCUAAGCUUUUUCCAGAGAAGAGAAGCUUUACUGGUGUUCCAGCCCUAAGAAACUUAAAUCCUCAGUGUGACACAACUCAGUCCUUCUACUGCAGCAGCUCUUUUAUAAAAGCCUCCCAAAGCUCCAAGAAGGAACAAAGAAUGUGACCCAGUAAGCUCACACCAUAAGUCUAUAUUGCAGAAACCUUUGUUCAACAAAACUGCAGAUGCUCUGUUGAAUCCACUGGAGAUUGUCCUGAUACUAAGGACAAGUAUGCUCAUAUGACAUUAACAGACAAGACACUUUUCAGAAAGACAGAAACUACUCUGAAAAACUCUCUUAAUGCUUUUUACGGCCGGGUGCGGUGGCUGGAGCCUGUAAUCCAAGCACUUUGGGAGGCCGAGGUGGGUGGAUCACCUGAGAUCUGGAGUUCGAGACCAGCCUGGCCAACAAGGUGAAACCCCACCUCUAUUAAAAAUACAAAAAUUAGCUGGGUGUGGUGGCACACACCUGUACUCCCAGCUACUUGAGAGGUUGAGGCAGGAGAAUCGCUUGAACUCGGGAGACGGAGGUUGCAGUGAGCCAAUAUUGCGCCAUUGCACUCCAGCCUGGGCAACAAGAGCGAAAUUCCAUCUCAAAAAAUAAAUAAAUAAAUAAAUAAAUAAAUAAAUAAAUAAAUAAAUAUUAAAAAAA